rnacentral:lncRNA from 1 species
AUGAUGUCUGUUGUCUUAGGUCCCCGUGGUCCACCAGGUCUCCCAGGAGAGAGAGGUCUACCGGGUCUGCCUGGACCACCAGGGCCUCCGGGUCCACCGUCACCAGCCAACGCCCAAAUCCCAGAUCCAGAUCACAAUCGCGGAAAAGACCCUUUCUCCACCAACACUUUCCAUGACUCUCAAGGUUUGCCGGUGCCUGGACCUCAGGGUCCUCCUGGGCCAGUCGGACCUCCAGGUCCCAGAGGCCCUGCCGGCCCCCCUGGACCCUCAGGACAGAACGUAAGCUUGCUCACAUUACUAGUGGAUGCACUCAGUGAACCUAACUCCAUCAUAUUUGCUGAUGCACCAGUGGAUCUUUGUCAUUUUGCGUUUUCUUUUGACAUAAUACAGGGAAAACCUGGAAAUGUGGGGGCACAGGGCCCUAUGGGGCCAAAGGGAGAACGCGGAGAGAGAGUGAGUCCUUGUUUUGGAUUUGCAGAAACACAAGAAUUUCACGAAUACUAUAAAGGGAUGUCCAAUAUUAUCAGACAAAUGUUAUUUUAUGUUUGUGUGGCACAGCUGGUCUAA